UAGAAAGAGGAAACCAAUCACUCAAGUUCAUCUCAAACCCACCAUAGUUGUUGUUGAGUAUAGUGAUAAGAGAUAUCAACUAAAAUGAGUGGUCGGAAGGGUUCAGUUCUUUUGGCUUUCUUGCUCUUCUUUUUCCUCUUCUCCUCCGAGCUGGCUGCUGCCCGGAAGCUGAUGAUGGCCGGAAACAACGCAGCGGCCAUACAUGAAGACCCCACCGUUUUCAGCAGCCCCGCCACACAAAACCCCGACGAGCAAAAUUGCUAUUGUUAUAGUGAUUGCAACUCUUGCCUAACCUCGGUCUGCGAUCCUUAUACACAAGACUGCCCUCCGCGGAACUGAAGUGGACCCUAAGAUCAAACACCAUGGAAACUAAAUAAACUAACCCACACCUACCUGGGUUUUUAAUUACUAUCUAUCUUACCUUUGUUGUCUGUAUUGAAUCCUAUUUAUAUGGUUAUAAGUUUGGGAGAUUCAUGUUUUAUGCCGAUGAUGCAUGGGUAUGAUUCGUAACUCGAUCAAUAGUACAUGUA